rnacentral:rRNA from 1 species
UUUUAAAAUUAUGGUUUACUUAAAUUUAUGGACUGAUCUUAUAAAUUUUAAUUUUUAAAACUAGGAUUAGAUACCCUAUUAUUUUGGAAUGUAAAUAUUUUAUGCCUAGGUAGUAUUAGUUAUGGUCUUGAAACUUAAAAAAUUUGGCGGUAUUUUAGUCUAUUCAGAGGAACCUGUUCUGUAAUCGAUAAUCCACGUUGGAUCUUACUUGAUUUUUUGGAGUUUGUAUACCGCCGUUAUAGAUUAUUUUAUUAGAAUAAUAAUUUUCAAUUGUUUAUAUUAAAAUUAAUAUCAGGUCAAGGUGCAGCUUAUAAUUAAGAGUAUAAAUGGGUUACAAUAAGUUUACUUAUGACGUAUAUUGGGUUUAAAUUUCUAGUUGAAGGUGGAUUUGAUAGUAAAAUUAUAAAGAUAGUUAAUUUGAUUUUGGCUCUAAAAUAUGUAC